AUUGAACGCUGGCGGCAUGCCUUACACAUGCAAGUCGAACGGCAGCGGACCUUCGGGUGCCGGCGAGUGGCGAACGGGUGAGUAAUAUAUCGGAACGUACCUUUCAGUGGGGGAUAACGUAGCGAAAGUUACGCUAAUACCGCAUAUUCUGUGAGCAGAAAAGCAGGGGAUCGCAAGACCUUGCGCUGAUUGAGCGGCCGAUAUCAGAUUAGCUAGUUGGUGAGGUAAAGGCUCACCAAGGCGACGAUCUGUAGCGGGUCUGAGAGGAUGAUCCGCCACACUGGAACUGAGACACGGUCCAGACUCCUACGGGAGGCAGCAGUGGGGAAUUUUGGACAAUGGGCGCAAGCCUGAUCCAGCCAUGCCGCGUGAGUGAAGAAGGCCUCGG
rnacentral:rRNA from 1 species